rnacentral:rRNA from 1 species
UACGUAGGGUGCGAGCGUUAAUCGGAAUUACUGGGCGUAAAGCGUGCGCAGGCGGUUUUGUAAGCCAGAUGUGAAAGCCCCGGGCUUAACCUGGGAAUGGCAUUUGGGACUGCAAGGCUUGAGUGCGGCAGAGGAGACUGGAAUUCCUGGUGGUAGCAGUGAAAUGCGUAGAUAUCAGGAGGAAUACCGAUGGCGAAGGCAGGUCUCUGGGCUGACACUGACGCUCAUGCACGAAGCGUGGGAGCAACAGGAUA